rnacentral:rRNA from 1 species
AUUGAACGCUGGCGGCAUGCCUUACACAUGCAAGUCGAACGGUAACAGGUCUUCGGAUGCUGACGAGUGGCGAACGGGUGAGUAAUACAUCGGAACGUGCCUAGUAGUGGGGGAUAACUACUCGAAAGAGUGGCUAAUACCGCAUGAGAUCUACGGAUGAAAGCAGGGGAUCGCAAGACCUUGCGCUACUAGAGCGGCCGAUGGCAGAUUAGGGAGUUGGUGGGAUAAAAGCUUGCCAAGCCGACAAUCUGUAGCUGGUCUGAGAGGACGAUCAGCCACACUGGGACUGAGACACGGCCCAGACUCCUACGGGAGGCAGCAGUGGGGAAUUUUGGACAAUGGGCGCAAGCCUGAUCCAGCAAUGCCGCGUGCAGGAAGAAGGCCUUCGGGUUGUAAACUGCUUUUGUACGGAGCGAAAAGGCUCCCUCUAAUACAGGGGGCUCAUGACGGUACCGUAAGAAUAAGCACCGGCUAACUGCGUGCCAGCAGCCGCCGUAACAC